CAAGCGACCUUGUGGAAGAAACCUUGAGAUCUAUACAACGGAAAAGUACCAGAAUCAGCCCCCAAGGAUGCCAUGAGCUCAGGCGCGCUGGCACGUUGGGCACUCGCCGUGGGCUGACUCUGUUCAACACGGUGAUUGCUGGUGUUGGUGGAAGGAGGCAUCGAGGAAAUACAGAAAACUGGGAAGCUGUCUCCCCAGUCGCUGGGGCACUGAUUUGGAGAAGGAGGUGACAGAGAAGCACAGAAUGAAGAGGAGAGAAGAGAAACAAAGCGCAGAAGGAUCAGGAGCCCCCAUCAAGGCUUUGAGAAGUCCACUCCUCCCGCCGGAGUACCCCGACCCUCCAUACCUCCCCUGCCCUGCCAACCCUGACACCUGCCAUCCACCUGCCCCACCACACCUGCCUCACCACAACCACCAGGCUCCCUGCAGAUGCACCUGGCUGCCUUCCCCAGGGCUCAGGGAGCAAGCCUGCAUCCUCAGGCUCUGUCUAGUCCCUGGAGCCGCCUCCUCGAAGCUCUUACAUAACUCGGGUCCUUCCUCACCUCCUGAGCAGCGCCGCCCUCCCCCCACCUUCUAGACAUGGGGGAGUAACAUCUG
rnacentral:lncRNA from 1 species